GCGGCGCGUGACGGCGGCGGCGGCGCCAGCAGGUGUCCCCGCGCCGCUUCCCGGGACACCCCGGGCUGGAACGGACCGCGGGGGGAUCAUCGAGUCCAAAGGCCCUGCCAAGGCAGGGUCACCUAGAGGAGGUCACACUGGAACGCGUCCAGAACACCAUUAUGAAGCAAGUGAGAUAAUGCUGAAAUGCAUGUUUUCUAGUGCCUACCUGUUCAGCACCUCUUAGAAGAUACCAAGAAGUUGUCCCUAUGGAAAGUGUCUCCUGAAUCAGACUGAAGGCAAUAACAGAGAGUCUGAGGUUAAAACUUCUGCCUACAACUAAUUUCUGAGAAUUGGUGUUGCAACUCCCAUCUUAUAAAAAAGCACCAUAAUUAGAUAACGAGGAAAUUACUCCAUAUACAAGCAACAAAGAUGCUUCAUGCAAGUACUUUUUACAAUUAAUAGACAAUUCUAAGUGGUUUUUAACUCUUAAAAUAAUAAUAAAAACUAUCUGGUAUA